rnacentral:ncRNA from 1 species
UUUAUGGAGAGUUUGAUCCUGGCUCAGGAUGAACGCUGGCGGCGUGCCUAAUACAUGCAAGUCGAGCGAACUGACGAGGAGCUUGCUCCUUUGACGUUAGCGGCGGACGGGUGAGUAACACGUGGGUAACCUACCUAUAAGACUGGAAUAACUCCGGGAAACCGGGGCUAAUGCCGGAUAACAUAUCGAACCGCAUGGUUCGAUAGUGAAAGACGGUCUUGCUGUCACUUAUAGAUGGACCCGCGCCGUAUUAGCUAGUUGGUGAGGUAACGGCUCACCAAGGCAACGAUACGUAGCCGACCUGAGAGGGUGAUCGGCCACACUGGAACUGAGACACGGUCCAGACUCCUACGGGAGGCAGCAGUGGGAAUCUUCCGCAAUGGGCGAAAGCCUGACGGAGCAACG